CCGCAGGGAGGUCCGCCCGUCCGCGAUCUCCUCCCACCACUGCAGGAGCGCGGGGUCCUGGGGCAGCGCCCGGCCUAGAGGCCGCCCCAAGCUGCCGCCACCGCUCCGUGAGGGGCCGCUCGCUGCCGAGGUCCUGACCCAGACCCCAACCCGUCCCGCAGCGCCCAGACCCCUUGGUGGGUGGCCCCGAGCGUCGCGGCCCGGGAAGGGGCGGGGCGGAGCGGGGGCGGCCGAGCUCUCGCGAGGUUUUGCCGGGGGUCUGGCGGCUGCGGCUCGACGGCGGCUGCGGCUCGACGGCGGGUGCGGGAUGCGCUCGGAAAAGGAGGGGGCCGGAGGCCCGAGGGCGGCCGUUGCCGCGCGAGGCGCGAGCGGGAGAGAGAAGCUAUCGGCCGUAGAGGUGCAGUUCCACCGCGAUUCGCCGCAGCGAGAGCCGGAGACGCCGCCAACGUCGUCCUCCGGCUGUGGGGGCGGUGCGGGCAAACCUCGCGAGGAGAAGAGGACGGCCCUGAGCAAGGUGGUCAUCCGCCGCCUGCCCCCGGGGCUCACCAAAGAGCAGCUGGAGGAGCAGCUGCACCCGCUGCCCGCGCACGACUACUUCGAGUUCUUCGCCGCCGACCUGAGUCUUUAUCCUCAUCUCUAUUCAAGAGCGUACAUUAAUUUUAGGAAUCCUGAUGACAUCCUUCUUUUUAGAGAUCGUUUUGAUGGAUAUAUCUUCCUUGACAGCAAAGGCCUAGAAUAUCCUGCAGUGGUAGAGUUUGCUCCAUUCCAGAAGAUAGCCAAAAAGAAGCUGAAAAAAAAAGAUGCCAAGACUGGAAGCAUCGAAGACGAUCCAGAAUAUAAGAAGUUUUUAGAAACCUACUGUGUGGAGGAAGAGAAGACCAGCACCAACCCUGAGAUUCUGCUGGGGGAGAUGGAGGCGAAGACAAGAGAGCUCAUUGAGAAUUCGGGAAGAGAAGCGAGAAGAACGGAGGAGGAGAGAGUUAGAAAAGAAACGCUUGCGGGAAGAGGAGAAAAGAAGAAGAAGAGAAGAAGAAAGAUGCAAAAAAAGGGAGACAGAUAAACAGAAGAAAACUGCAGAGAGAGAAGUAAGGAUUAAGCUUCUUAAGAAACCAGAAAAGGGAGAGGAACCAACCACAGAGAGUCCAAAAGAAAGAGGAGAGGAGAUUGAUCCUGGAGUUGGCAAGCAGGAAUCCAGUACCCCCGGCGCAGUCAUAAAAGUCAGGCCCGCGGAAGGCUCGCUGGAGGAGCCCCAGGAGAUGUCACGCAACGGCAGUGACAAAGAGCACAGGGAUGUGGAGAGAUCUCAAGAAAAAGAGCUUGAAGCACAGAGACCCCAUGUGGAUGAUGGCAGGAGGCACAGAGCUUACCACGAGCCUGACCGGCUUUCCAGAAGGAGUGAAGAUGAGCAGAGAUGGGGGAAAGGACCUGCCCAGGACAGAGGGAAGAAGGGGAGCCAGGACAGCGGGGCCCCAGGGGGUGCCGUGGAGAGACCCGGGAGAGCUCAGAGGUGUGACGACAGUCCAGCACCCAGAAAGGAGCGACUGGCAAACAAGGACCGGCCGGCCUUGCAGCUAUAUGAUCCGGGAGCUCGCUUCCGAGCUCGAGAGUGUGGUGGAAGCGGGAGGAACUGCAAGGCAGAAACGUCGGGGACUGGUCCUGAGAACAGGGAAGAGGCAGAGUGAGUCACAGCGUGCACCUGGCUUCCAUGGACGAGCGAAGGCAUCCCAGAAACGUGUACGUGACUCCAAGUGUCACUGGAAGGGAGCACUUACUCGUUACCAGGAAACGAAGCUGAAAAUAAAGAGGGUGACGUAGAAACACACAGAAGCCAUUCUAAAGAAAGUAGUGAUCUUGUCUUAAAUUGAGCAGAAUUCUCGUGGAUUUUAACAUUUCUGGUAUAAACUAGUAUUUGAUGUUUAGCCAAAUCACAAAUGAUUUUCACUGGACAGUAGAAAAGUAUGUGUAAAAUAGGGGAGAAAAUUAGUAUUGGAUCAGUACGAGCCCUGAAGCACUGUCAACGUAUGUUUGUAAGCAGAGGAGCUGUCAGCCACAUUGUGGCCUCUGAGCCGUGGUGUCGAGGAAAGAGCAGUUCUUGUUUGUUAUCACCUUUGUGAGUCAGCCACACCUGUGCUGUGUUUUAGUCCUUCGGUAGGGAUAUGUAUCAGACUUCACACUAUGUAAAACCCAACAGCUUCAACUAUUGCCAUUUCAGCAGUUUUGUCACUGACUGGAUGAAAAUGGUUUCACAGUCUUGGAUGGAUGCGUUUGUGGUUUGUAACCAUUAUGGUUUAAACCAUGGUUUAAGGAUUUGCCCAAAUAACAGAAAUUUUGUUCAGGAAGGGAUAAAGUGGGUACAGCACAUAGAUGACUUUUAGACACUUUAUUUGUAAAUAACUUAAAAUAGCUUUCUGAAACUAUGCAUCCUACAGUUUUCUUCCUUUCAGUGAAAUUGUUAAAUGUUAAUGUAUUUUUGGCACUAUGAUUUUAACCAUUUAUUAAAUAAUUUUGUUAAAGA